rnacentral:rRNA from 1 species
GAGUUUGAUCCUGGCUCAGGACGAACGCUGGCGGUGCGCCUUAUGCAUGCAAGUUGAGCGAAGCUUUUUGGUAGUUUACUACUAGAAAUGACUGAGCGGCGAACGGGUGAGUAACGCGUGAGCAAUCUACCUUAGUUACUGGGAUAGCCCGAGGAAACUCGGAUUAAUACCGGAUAUUCUUAUUUUUUCACAUGAAGUUUUAAGGAAAGGUCAGCCGAACUAAGAUGAGCUCGCGUUCUAUCAGCUAGUUGGUGGGGUAAAAGCCUACCAAGGCUACGACGGAUAGCUGGUCUGAGAGGACGAUCAGCCACACUGGGACUGAGACACGGCCCAGACUCCUACGGGAGGCUGCAGCAGGGAAUAUUGUGCAAUGAGCGAAAGCUUGACACAGCGACACCGCGUGUGGGAUGACGGUUCUAGGAUUGUAAACCACUUUCAGGAGGGAAGAAAAUGACGGUACCUCCACAAGAAGACCCGGCCAACUAUGUGCCAGCAGCCGCGGUAAUACAUAGGGGUCAAGCGUUGUCCGGAUUUAUUGGGCGUAAAGAGCUCGUAGGCGGUUCAACAAGUCGGUCGUAAAAGUUUAGGGCUCAACCCUAAAAUGUCGAUCGAUACUGUUGUGACUAGGAUACGGUAGAGGUGAAUGGAAUUCCGAGUGUAGCGGUGAAAUGCGUAGAUAUUCGGAGGAACACCAAUUGCGAAGGCAGUUCACUGGACCGUGAUCGACGCUGAGGAGCGAAAGCUAGGGGAGCAAACAGGAUUAGAUACCCUGGUAGUCCUAGCUGUAAACGAUGGAUACUAGAUGUAGGAACUGGAUUGACGGUUUCUGUAUCGUAGCUAACGCGUUAAGUAUCCCGCCUGGGGAGUACGGUCGCAAGACUAAAACUCAAAGGAAUUGACGGGACCCCGCACAAGCGGCGGAGCAUGCGGCUUAAUUCGAUGAUACCCGUAGUACCUUACCUGGACUUGACAUAUAGGGAAAAACUGGAGAAAUCCAGUGUGCGUAAGCGCCCUAUACAGGUGGUGCAUGGCUGUCGUCAGCUCGUGCCGUGAGAUGUUGGGUUAAGUCCCGCAACGAGCGCAACCCCUGUCCUAUGUUGCCAGCAAGUAAUGUUGGGGACUCAUAGGAGACUGCCGGUGAUAAACCGGAGGAAGGUGGGGACGACGUCAAGUCAUCAUGCCCCUUAUGUCCAGGGCUGCACGCAUGCUACAAUGGCAAGUACAACGAGUCGCAAUACCGCGAGGUGGAGCAAAUCUCUUAAAGCUUGUCUCAGUUCGGAUAGGAGUCUGCAACUCGACUCCUUGAAGUUGGAGUCGCUAGUAAUCGCAAAUCAGCAAAGUUGCGGUGAAUACGUUCUCGGGGUUUGUACACACCGCCCGUC